rnacentral:rRNA from 1 species
AGUGAACGCUGGCGGUAGGCCUAACACAUGCAAGUCGAACGGCAGCACAGUAAGAGCUUGCUCUUACGGGUGGCGAGUGGCGGACGGGUGAGGAAUACAUCGGAAUCUACUUUUUCGUGGGGGAUAACGUAGGGAAACUUACGCUAAUACCGCAUACGACCUACGGGUGAAAGCAGGGGAUCUUCGGACCUUGCGCGAUUGAAUGAGCCGAUGUCGGAUUAGCUAGUUGGCGGGGUAAAGGCCCACCAAGGCGACGAUCCGUAGCUGGUCUGAGAGGAUGAUCAGCCACACUGGAACUGAGACACGGUCCAGACUCCUACGGGAGGCAGCAGUGGGGAAUAUUGGACAAUGGGCGCAAGCCUGAUUCAGCCAUACCGCGUGGGUGAAGAAGGCCUUCGGGUUGUAAAGCCCUUUUGUUGGGAAAGAAAAGAAGCAGGUUAAUACCCCGCUGUUCUGACGGUACCCAAAGAAUAAGCACCGGCUAACUUCGUG